UCUGAAUUCCUGGGGCACUGUCCUGUUCCUUUCAGUGAUGUCAGCGUACAGCUCCGAGCACCCUCCUGGUGCUGGCAGCUGGGCGCUGCUACUCCCACUCUUCUGCGAUGAAGCUGCAGCACAAAGCACUGCGCAGAGCCCGAAGCGCCUGUCUCCUGAUGUGGGCGGGCCGUGGCUGGUGUGCCGGGGCUUGUGUGAGGUCAUGGAUGCCUGUGGGAGACAGAGAGGUGUAGGUUAGGGCCUGAGCGGGUGAUGGGCAAGCCCCUGCCUUCCCCCCACACCACCACCCAAGGGGAGGGGUGGCCCAGGACCAGCCAGUCCCCCUGCAUGUUCCUAGCCCUUGCUCCUGCUCGCUGCUCUGAACAGGCCCAUCCAAAAGUCCCCGGGACGGCUCUUGUUUCUGGCACGUUGCUGGCUUGUCUGCUGGUGUAUCUUUGGUGCAGGAAGACUGCGCUUGGCCUCCCUGCUCGGCAGCAACCUGCAUGGGGAGAGCAAGAGCACAGGUAGGUGAUGGAAGGGAUGUCAGCCCUUGUAUAUGCCUUUUUGGUUGUACAUGCACACGGAGUGAUCUGGAAGGAGAGGGGAUUAUGGAAUUCGCACGGCAAAAAUAUCAAGCAUGCAAAAGAAAUCCUGAAGUUGUUGGAAGCAGUUCAACUCCCUGAGAAAGUGGCAGUCAUGCACAUUAGAGCACACCAAAAAGCAAACUCAGAAUUGGAAAAAGGAAAUGAGCUGGCGGACAGAGAGGCAAAACAUGCAGCCAAAAGGGAGGUGAAAACAGAAGGGGCCCUGAUCCCUGAUGGGCAAAUCUCCCUAGAAGAAAAAACUCUUGGGAACCCCAAUGGGAAGGACCCUUUCAGGUGCUGCUUACGUCAUACACUGCAGUAAAAAUUAAAGAACAACCUGCUUGGAUUCACCACACGAGAAUCAACAAGUCAACACAAGGUCCAUGGACACUUGAAACGACGGGACCAAUGGGUAGCUGCAACCACUUGGAAGAAAAAGCAGAAGAGGAGAGAGAAAUGCUGCCCAAAUGUUUGCAGUGUGAUCAGACUUCUGACUGACCUCUUUUAAAAUGCACUUGCGUUAUUACACAUUUGGAGUCACAGUAUUCCCCAACACUCUAGUGCAGUCUUUGGCCAUCCACCCACUGGCUGCUUCAGAGAAGGAAUGAAAACGAAGAGGCUCUAACUCCAGUGGUCACCCUGCUGGCUAAAAAAUCACCAGAGCUGAGGGUCACGCACAGAAAGUGGAAGGGGACGGUGCUCCCUGCACCUAUAGCUGGAUGACGUGGGAAGGUUCAGCCCAAGGAAAAGUCCUGGACAGUGCUAAGAGAAGUUGCAGCCUCCUUUCCUGCUCCUGGGGCAAGGCCUGGGGCCAGCACCCUGCAGUGACCCUCACAGCCUGCGGACUGCUCUGCCCGAAUCUCCAGGGUGCAGCAGUCUCCUUGGGGAGGCAGCUCCCUGACAGGGCAGGCUGCAGCCCCUGUUGUGACACGCGAUGAGGCAACAGCGGGGCCGUCUGUGACAUCACACCACGUCCUGCUCAAAAGCCCUGUGCGCCGCGACCUGCCCUCACUUGGCUGCGAGGCCUUCAGGAGGCAGUGGCUGGUGCUGCU